UAGCGAGGGGGGCGAGCGUUGUCCGGAAUCACUGGGGCGUAAAGGGCGCGUAGGCGGCGGCGGGAAGUCCGUGGUGAAAGCCCGAGGGCUACAACCGUUCGGGUCGGCCCAUGGAUUACUCCUGGGGCUUGAGCACUGUAGAGGCAGGUGGAAUUCCGGGUGUAGCGGUGGAAAUGCGUAGAGAUCCGGAAGAACACCCGGUGGCGAAGGCGGCCUGCUGGGCAGUAGCUGACGCUGAGGCGCGACAGCGUGGGGGAGCAAACAGG
rnacentral:rRNA from 1 species